rnacentral:lncRNA from 1 species
GUAUAGAACAUUCCUCACAUCAAAUUCUCGAAUGCGUCCCCAAAAUCGUACACAUCAACAUAUAGUUAAGAACUUGAAACCACAUGAUCAUAAAAUUUAAGACUAGAUCACAUUAAAACACGAUCAGUUAAUCACAUAACAAUUUAUCAUUAAAUCACUAAAAAUAAUCAAGUUAUGACUCUUCUCUGUCCAUAAUUUCUCAGAAAUACAACAAUUGCACUUCCCAC